rnacentral:miRNA from 3 species
ACUAUAUAUCAAACAUUCCU